UAUGAAUAAAAAUAAAAAUAAAAGCAGGGAGGGAAUUAAAAAAACUAAAGAAAAAGAAGUUGAAUCUUACAUCAUAUAAAAAAUUAACUCAAGUGGGGCGGGGCCCAGACGCUUUCUCGCUGCUUUGGGAGUGGGUUUUCUGGUUGAAGUUGGCACAAGUUGUCUGUCCCCGCCGCACCACCAUGCUCAGUGUUCCUGAAAGUACACCUUUCACAGCAGUCUUAAAGUUUGCAGCAGAAGAAUUUAAAGUUCCUGCUGCAACAAGUGCGAUUAUUACCAAUGAUGGAAUAGGAAUAAAUCCUGCACAGACUGCUGGAAACGUUUUUCUAAAGCAUGGUUCAGAACUGCGAAUUAUUCCUAGAGAUCGCGUUGGAAGUUGUUAAUAUGUGCUACUUGGAGCAUAUAAUUACCUUCAAAAUAAAUAUUGGUAUUUUUUGUUGUAAAAAUUGAAAUCAGGCAUUUGAGGAACUGACAACACCAAGAGUCAAUGAAACAAUGAAAGCUGCACACAGUCCUUUCUUGUUUGUACUCUUCAUGUGAAGAGGGGAUGCUUGUGAGUGGAGUGUACAACCACCACAGAAAGUCAUAGAUUUGUCGAUAGCUACCUCACAAUACAAGCAGGGAGUUCAUUUGUAGAAAAUGGAUUAUCCAACUAUGUUUCUAUA